CCUACGGGAGGCAGCAGUGAGGAAUAUUGGACAAUGGACGCAAGUCUGAACCAGCCAUGCCGCGUGCAGGAAGACGGCUCUAUGAGUUGUAAACUGCUUUUGUACGAGGGUAAACGCAGAUACGCGUAUCUGUCUGAAAGUAUCGUACGACUAAGGAUCGGCUAACUCCGUGCCAGCAGCCGCGGUAAUACGGAGGAUUCAAGCGUUAUCCGGAUUUAUUGGGUUUAAAGGGUGCGUAGGCGGUCGGAUAAGUUAGAGGUGAAAUCCCGAGGCUCAACUUCGGACUUGCCUCUGAUACUGUUCGGCUAGAGAGUAGUUGCGGUAGGCGGAAUGUAUGGUGUAGCUGUGAAAUGCUUAGAGAUCAUACAGAACACCGAUUGCGAAGGCAGCUUACCAAGCUACUUCUGACGUUGAGGCACGAAAGCGUGGGGAGCAAACAGGAUUAGAUACCCCAGUAGUC
rnacentral:rRNA from 1 species